CAGCAGUGAGGAAUAUUGGUCAAUGGGCGAGAGCCUGAACCAGCCAUCCCGCGUGCAGGAUGACGGCCCUACGGGUUGUAAACUGCUUUUCCGCAAGAAGAAUGGUCAUUACGAGUAGUGAUUUGACGGUAUUGCAGGAAUAAGCAUCGGCUAACUCCGUG
rnacentral:rRNA from 1 species